rnacentral:rRNA from 1 species
GAUGAACGCUGGCGGCGUGCCUAAUACAUGCAAGUCGAGCGAAUGGAUUAAGAGCUUGCUCUUAUGAAGUUAGCGGCGGACGGGUGAGUAACACGUGAGUAACCUGCCCAUAAGACUGGGAUAACUCCGGGAAACCGGGGCUAAUACCGGAUAACAUUUUGAACCGCAUGGUUCGAAAUUGAAAGGCGGCUUCGGCUGUCACUUAUGGAUGGACCCGCGUCGCAUUAGCUAGUUGGUGAGGUAACGGCUCACCAAGGCAACGAUGCGUAGCCGACCUGAGAGGGUGAUCGGCCACACUGGGACUGAGACACGGCCCAGACUCCUACGGGAGGCAGCAGUAGGGAAUCUUCCGCAAUGGACGAAAGUCUGACGGAGCAACGCCGCGUGAGUGAUGAAGGCUUUCGGGUCGUAAAACUCUGUUGUUAGGGAAGAACAAGUGCUUGUUGAAUAAGCUGGCACCUUGACGGUACCUAACCAGAAAGCCACGGCUAACUACGUGCCAGCAGCCGCAGUAACAC